rnacentral:rRNA from 1 species
AACGAACGCUGGCGGCAUGCCUAACACAUGCAAGUCGAACGAGACCUUCGGGUCUAGUGGCGCACGGGUGCGUAACGCGUGGGAACCUGCCCUUAGGUUCGGAAUAACUCCCCGAAAGGGGUGCUAAUACCGGAUAAUGUCUUCGGACCAAAGAUUUAUCGCCUUUGGAUGGGCCUGCGUUGGAUUAGCCAGUUGGUAGGGUAAAAGCCUACCAAGGCGACGAUCCAUAGCUGGUCUGAGAGGAUGAUCAGCCACACUGGGACUGAGACACGGCCCAGACUCCUACGGGAGGCAGCAGUGGGGAAUAUUGGACAAUGGGCGAAAGCCUGAUCCAGCAAUGCCGCGUGAGUGAUGAAGGCCUUAGGGUUGUAAAGCUCUUUUACCCGGGAUGAUAAUGACAGUACCGGGAGAAUAAGCUCCGGCUAACUCCGUG